GCUGCUUUCCGAAGCAGACUUUUUCGUUGACGAAAAAGAUCUCCAAACCUUUGUCGGCGCGGCCUUUUCAGCCGCGCUUUUUUUUG
rnacentral:ncRNA from 14 species